ACGGGUGAGUAACGCGUGGGAAUCUACCCAUCUCUACGGAACAACUCCGGGAAACUGGAGCUAAUACCGUAUACGUCCUUCGGGAGAAAGAUUUAUCGGAGAUGGAUGAGCCCGCGUUGGAUUAGCUAGUUGGUGGGGUAAUGGCCUACCAAGGCGACGAUCCAUAGCUGGUCUGAGAGGAUGAUCAGCCACACUGGGACUGAGACACGGCCCAGACUCCUACGGGAGGCAGCAGUGGGGAAUAUUGGACAAUGGGCGCAAGCCUGAUCCAGCCAUGCCGCGUGAGUGAUGAAGGCCCUAGGGUUGUAAAGCUCUUUCAACGGUGAAGAUAAUGACGGUAACCGUAGGAGAAGCCCCGGCUAACUUCGUGCCAGCAGCCGCGGUAAUACGAAGGGGGCUAGCGUUGUUCGGAAUUACUGGGCGUAAAGCGCACGUAGGCGGAUACUUAAGUCAGGGGUGAGAUCCCGGGGCUCAACCCCGGAACUGCCUUUGAUACUGGGUAUCUCGAGUCCGGAAGAGGUGAGUGGAAUUCCGAGUGUAGAGGUGAAAUUCGUAGA
rnacentral:rRNA from 1 species